UACGAGGGGGGCAAGCGUUGUUCGGAAUUAUUGGGCGUAAAGGGCGCGUAGGCGGUUUGACAAGUCUGAUGUGAAAUCUCUGGGCUCAACCCAGAGUCUGCAUUAGAAACUGUCGGGCUUGAGUAUGGGAGAGGUGAGUGGAAUUUCCGGUGUAGCGGUGAAAUGCGUAGAUAUCUGGAGGAACACCGGUGGCGAAGGCGGCAUCCUGGACCAUUACUGACGCUGAGUGAGCGAAAGCCAGGGGAGCAAACGGG
rnacentral:rRNA from 1 species